rnacentral:rRNA from 2 species
UUAAUUAGCGGCGGACGGGUGAGUAACACGUGGGCAACCUGCCUGUAAGACUGGGAUAACUUCGGGAAACCGGAGCUAAUACCGGAUAAUAUAAAGAACCUCAUGGUUCUCUAUUAAAAGAUGGUUUCGGCUAUCACUUACAGAUGGGCCCGCGGCGCAUUAGCUAGUUGGUGAGGUAACGGCUCACCAAGGCAACGAUGCGUAGCCGACCUGAGAGGGUGAUCGGCCACACUGGGACUGAGACACGGCCCAGACUCCUACGGGAGGCAGCAGUAGGGAAUCUUCCGCAAUGGACGAAAGUCUGACGGAGCAACGCCGCGUGAACGAUGAAGGCCUUCGGGUCGUAAAGUUCUGUUGUUAAGGAAGAACAAGUACGAGAGUAACUGCUCGUACCUUGACGGUACUUAACCAGAAAGCCACGGCUAACUACGUGCCAGCAGCCGCGGUAAUACGUAGGUGGCAAGCGUUAUCCGGAAUUAUUGGGCGUAAAGCGCUCGCAGGCGGUCUUUUAAGU